GACGAACGCUGGCGGCGUGCUUAACACAUGCAAGUCGAGCGGAAAGGCCCUUCGGGGUACUCGAGCGGCGAACGGGUGAGUAACACGUGAGUAACCUGCCCCAGACUUUGGGAUAACCCUCGGAAACGGGGGCUAAUACCGGAUACGACACAGCUUCGCAUGGGGUCUGUGUGGAAAGUUUUUCGGUUUGGGAUGGGCUCGCGGCCUAUCAGCUUGUUGGUGGGGUGAUGGCCUACCAAGGCGACGACGGGUAGCCGGCCUGAGAGGGCGACGGGCCACACUGGGACUGAGACACGGCCCAGACUCCUACGGGAGGCAGCAGUGGGGAAUAUUGCACAAUGGGCGGAAGCCUGAUGCAGCGACGCCGCGUGAGGGAUGACGGCCUUCGGGUUGUAAACCUCUUUCAGCAGGGACGAAGCGUAAGUGACGGUACCUGCAGAAGAAGCGCCGGCCAACUACGUG
rnacentral:rRNA from 1 species